rnacentral:rRNA from 1 species
GACGUAGGGCGCGAGCGUUGUCCGGAUUUAUUGGGCGUAAAGAGCUCGUAGGCGGCUUGUCGCGUCGAAUGUGAAAUCUCAGGGCUCAACUCUGACAUUGCAUUCGAUACGGGCAGGCUCGAGUUCGGUAGGGGAGACUGGAAUUCCUGGUGUAGCGGUGAAAUGCGCAGAUAUCAGGAGGAACACCGGUGGCGAAGGCGGCGACCUGGGACAAUACUGACGCUGAGGUGCGAAAGCGUGGGGAGCAAACAGG